rnacentral:snoRNA from 1 species
UUGGCCCUGAAUCAAAGCCGGCAGUUUGUUGAAGCUGUUGGUUUUAAUCAGGAGCCUAAAGAAAAGUCUUUUUGUGGUCUUUUAAAAAAAAUAUUU